ACAGUCGAGCGGACAGAUGGGAGCUUGCUCCCUGAUGUUAGCGGCGGACGGGUGAGUAACACGUGGGUAACCUGCCUGUAAGACUGGGAUAACUCCGGGAAACCGGGGCUAAUACCGGAUGGUUGUUUGAACCGCAUGGUUCAAACAUAAAAGGUGGCUUCGGCUACCACUUACAGAUGGACCCGCGGCGCAUUAUCUAGUUGGUGAGGUAACGGCUCACCAAGGCAACGAUGCGUAGCCGACCUGAGAGGGUGAUCGGCCACACUGGGACUGAGACACGGCCCAGACUCCUACGGGAGGCAGCAGUAGGGAAUCUUCCGCAAUGGACGAAAGUCUGACGGAGCAACGCCGCGUGAGUGAUGAAGGUUUUCGGAUCGUAAAGCUCUGUUGUUAGGGAAGAACAAGUACCGUUCGAAUAGGGCGGUACCUUGACGGUACCUAACCAGAAAGCCACGGCUAACUACGUGCCAGCAGCCGCGGUAAUACGUAGGUGGCAAGCGUUGUCCGGAAUUAUUGGGCGUAAAGGGCUCGCAGGCGGUUUCUUAAGUCUGAUGUGAAAGCCCCCGGCUCAACCGGGGAGGGUCAUUGGAAACUGGGGAACUUGAGUGCAGAAGAGGAGAGUGGAAUUCCACGUGUAGCGGUGAAAUGCGUAGAGAUGUGGAGGAACACCAGUGGCGAACGCGACUCUCUGGUCUGUAACUGACGCUGAGGAGCGAAAGCGUGGGGAGCGAACAGGAUUAGAUACCCUGGUAGUCCACGCGUAAACGAUGAGUGCUAGUGUUAGGGGUUUCCGCCCCUUAGUGCUGCAGCUAACGCAUUAGCACUCGGCCUGGGGGAGUACGGUCGCAGACUGAAA
rnacentral:rRNA from 1 species